GGCAGUUUUCCCACCGCAGUGCAGCUUGCAGUGUGUUCGGCACCGGCUUUGCCCGCGUGGAGGGACCCACGUCUCACUCAGAGGGUUCCCGGAACCAUGGACAGCGCCUCCCCUCUGAAACUUACCAGACCCCCUGAGGAGGUCUGGCUUGGAGCCACAGCCAAGGUGUCUGCACACCCAGCAUGAGCACAGCUUGGACUCCAG
rnacentral:lncRNA from 1 species